GACGUAGGGGGCCAGCGUUGCUCGGAAUUACUGGGCGUAAAGGGUCCGUAGGCGGUGUGGCAAGUCGGGAGUGAAAUCUCUGGGCUUAACUCAGAGGCUGCUUCCGAAACUGCUGUGCUUGAGUGUGGGAGAGGCGCGUGGAAUUGCAGGUGUAGCGGUGAAAUGCGUAGAUAUCUGCAGGAACACCCGUGGCGAAGGCGGCGCGCUGGACCACUACUGACGCUGAGGGACGAAAGCUAGGGGAGCAAACAGG
rnacentral:rRNA from 1 species